rnacentral:misc_RNA from 1 species
GAUGAAGAACGCAGCGAAAUGCGAUACGUAAUGUGAAUUGCAAAUUCAGUGAAUCAUCGAGUCUUUGAACGCACAUUGCGCCCCCUGGUAUUCCGGGGGGCAUGCCUGUCCGAGCGUCAUUGCUGCCCUCAAGCACGGCUUGUGUGUUGGGCCCCGUCCUCCGAUCCCGGGGGACGGGCCCGAAAGGCAGCGGCGGCACCGCGUCCGGUCCUCGAGCGUAUGGGGCUUUGUCACCCGCUCUGUAGGCCCGGCCGGCGCUUGCCGAUCAACCCAAAUUUUUAUCCAGGUUGACCUCGGAUCAGGUAGUGAUACCCGCUGAACUUAAGCAUAUCAAUAAGCGGAGGA